rnacentral:rRNA from 1 species
UGAAUACGAGACGCUAAGGCGUUGAAGUAGUGUAUAUCAUACUUCCAAGAAAAGCUUGCACUGUCAUAGAUAAAAAACGCCUGUACCAUAACCGACACAGGUGGGUAGGUAGAGUAUACUAAGGGGCGCGAGAUAACUCUCUCUAAGGAACUCGGCAAAAUAACUCCGUAACUUCGGGAGAAGGAGUGCCUUAUUUAUAAGGUUGCAAUAACAAGAUCCAAGCAACUGUUUAUCAAAAACACAGGUCUCCGCUAAGUCGUAAGACGAUGUAUGGGGGCUGACGCCUGCCCAGUGCCAGAAGGUUAAAGAAGUUGGUUAGCAAUAGCGAAGCUGAUAACUGAAGCCCUGGUGAACGGCGGCCGUAACGAUAACGGUCCUAAGGUAGCGAAAUUCCUUGUCGGGUAAGUUCCGACCCGCACGAAAGGCGUAAUGAUUUGGAUACUGUCUCGGAGAGGGGCUCGGUGAAAUAGACUUGUCUGUGAAGAUGCGGACUACCUGCACCAGGACAGAAAGACCCUAUGAAGCUUUACUGUAACUUGAAAUUGAAAUUGGACUUUAUUCGCGCAGUAUAGGUGGGAGGCGUUGAUUGUAAUCUUGCGGGAUUAUUGGAGCCAUCAGUGAGAUACCACCCUUGUAAUGUUAGAUUUCUAACUUUGAAUCAUUAUCUGGUCAAAGAACAGUUUCAGGCGGGCAGUUUGACUGGGGCGGUCGCCUCCUAAACGGUAACGGAGGCGUACAAAGGUUUCCUCUGAACGGUUAGAAAUCGUAUCUAGAGUGUAAAGGCAUAAGGAAGCUUGACUGUGAGACCUACAAGUCGAGCAGGGACGAAAGUCGGUCUUAGUGAUCUGACGGUACUGAGUGGAAAGGCCGUCACUCAACGGAUAAAAGUUACUCUAGGAUAACAGGCUGAUCUCCCCCAAGAGUUCACAUCGACGGGGAGGUUUGGCACCUCGAUGUCGGCUCAUCGCAUCCUGGGGCGGUAGUACGUCCCAAGGGUUGGGCUGUUCGCCCAUGAAAGCGGUACGCGAGCUGGGUUCAGAACGUCGUGAGACAGUUCGGUCCAUAUCCGGUGUAGGCGUUAGAAUAUUGAGAGGAGCCUUCUUUAGUACGAGAGGACCGAGAAGGACAUACCUCUGGUGUACCAGUUAUCGUGCCAACGGUAAACGCUGGGUAGCUAUGUAUGGAGUGGAUAACCGCUGAAAGCAUCCAAGUGGGAAGCCCACCUCAAGAUAAGUAUUC